rnacentral:tRNA from 1 species
GUCAGAUAGCUCAGUUGGUAGAGCAGAGGACUGAAAUC